UUGACUGGGGCGGUCUCCUCCUAAAGAGUAACGGAGGAGCACGAAGGUUGGCUAAUCCUGGUCGGACAUCAGGAGGUUAGUGCAAUGGCAUAAGCCAGCUUGACUGCGAGCGUGACGGCGCGAGCAGGUGCGAAAGCAGGUCAUAGUGAUCCGGUGGUUCUGAAUGGAAGGGCCAUCGCUCAACGGAUAAAAGGUACUCCGGGGAUAACAGGCUGAUACCGCCCAAGAGUUCAUAUCGACGGCGGUGUUUGGCACCUCGAUGUCGGCUCAUCACAUCCUGGGGCUGAAGUAGGUCCCAAGGGUAUGGCUGUUCGCCAUUUAAAGUGGUACGCGAGCUGGGUUUAGAACGUCGUGAGACAGUUCGGUCCCUAUCUGCCGUGGGCGCUGGAGAACUGAGGGGGGCUGCUCCUAGUACGAGAGGACCGGAGUGGACGCAUCACUGGUGUUCGGGUUGUCAUGCCAAUGGCACUGCCCGGUAGCUAAAUGCGGAAGAGAUAAGUGCUGAAAGCAUCUAAGCACGAAACUUGCCCCGAGAUGAGUUCUCCCUGACCCUUUAAGGGUCCUGAAGGAACGUUGAAGACGACGACGUUGAUAGGCCGGGUGUGUAAGCGCAGCGAUGCGUUGAGCUAACCGGUACUAAUGAACCGUGAGGCUUAACCUU
rnacentral:rRNA from 1 species